rnacentral:rRNA from 1 species
UACGAAGGUGGCAAGCGUUGUUCGGAUUUACUGGGCGUACAGGGAGCGUAGGCGGUUGGAUAAGCCCUCCGUGAAAUCUCCAGGCUUAACCUGGAAAGUGCAGAGGGGACUGUUCAGCUAGAGGAUGGGAGAGGAGAGUGGAAUUCCUGGUGUAGCGGUGAAAUGCGCAGAUAUCAGGAAGAACACCCGUGGCGAAGGCGGCUCUCUGGUACGUGACUGACGCUGAGACGCGAAAGCGUGGGGAGCGAACAGG